rnacentral:tRNA from 1 species
GCCUUCGUGGUGUAGUGGUCUGCAUGUUCGACGCGUAACCAAGAGGUCCGUGGUUCGAUUCCCGGUGAAGGCG